rnacentral:rRNA from 1 species
UGGCGCGGUCAUAGAAGCUGGGUCACACCCGGUCUCGUCAGAUCCCGGAAGUUAAGCCGGUUUCGUCGCCGUGAGUACUGAUAUCCGAGAGGCGUCGGGAAAAUGGUGAACUGCGCCAC